UGUGGGAGCGAGCCUGCUCGCGAUAGCGGUAUGUCAGUUACAUGAAGGUCACUGGCACGCCCUCAUCGCGAGCAGGCUCGCUCCCACA
rnacentral:misc_RNA from 1 species